CGUAAGGCGCCGAAUGAGUCAUUAAAAAAUUAACAUCAUCCGAUCCCUAGUCGGCAUAGUUUAUGGUUAAGACUACGACGGUAUCUGAUCGUCUUCGAUCCCCCUAACUUUCGUUCUUGAUUAAUGAAAACAUCCUUGGCAAAUGCUUUCGCAGUAGUUAGUCUUCAAUAAAUCCAAGAAUUUCACCUCUGACAAUUGAAUACUAAUGCCCCCAACUAUCCCUAUUAAUCAUUACGUCAAUCCUAGAAACCAACAAAAUAGGAUCGAACGUCCUAUUUCAUUAUUCCAUGCUAAUGUAUUCAAGCGUUAGCUUGCUUUAAACACUCUAAUUUUUCAAAGUAACAGUCCAAAUUCCCGCAACACCAAAUUAAUGGCAUUACAGUUCAUCAGGAAGGAGGAAUCAGUGAGACCAGUACAUACCAGAGGCAUGACCAACCUACUAACCCCGAAAUUCAACUACGAGCUUUUAACUGCAACAACUUUAAUAUACGCUAUUGGGCUGGAAUUACCGCGCUGCU
rnacentral:rRNA from 1 species